GUUUUCCUACGACGUUUCCUUCCAUAUUGAUGGCGAAGGUAUUUAGAAGGAAAUUUUCCUACUAAUUUCUCUCCGCGCGUUUUCCUUCUUUUUCCCUUCUUUAUUCCUUCACGGUUUCCUACCAAACUAUUAAUUAAAAGAAUUUGGUAGGAAAUUUUCCUUCCACUUUCUGACACAUAUUCUCGUAGUAAAUGUCUCUUCCUUUUUUCUACCACACUCCAUCUUCGUCAUAAAUGCGAAAUUUUACCGUAGGUAAUUUUUCCUACCAAUAUUUUUGAAGGAAUUUUCGUAGGAUUUCGACCUGUUUUCUUGUAGUG
rnacentral:lncRNA from 1 species